CCAGGUCUUGACAUCCUUUGACCACUCUAGAGAUAGAGCUUUCCCUUCGGGGACAAAGUGACAGGUGGUGCAUGGUUGUCGUCAGCUCGUGUCGUGAGAUGUUGGGUUAAGUCCCGCAACGAGCGCAACCCUUAUUGUUAGUUGCCAUCAUUUAGUUGGGCACUCUAGCGAGACUGCCGGUGACAAACCGGAGGAAGGUGGGGAUGACGUCAAAUCAUCAUGCCCCUUAUGACCUGGGCGACACACAUGCUACAAUGGGAAAAACAACGAGUCGCUAGACCGCGAGGGCAUGCGAAUCUCUUAAAGCUUCUCUCAAUUCUGAUUGCAGGAUGGAACUCGACUGCAAGAA
rnacentral:rRNA from 1 species